GCUGAGAUGUACAGGCAAUCAUUCACUGAGGAAUCAGUACGAUGAAGGUCAUCCUGCUUUUUGCACUAUUUGGUCUGAGCUUCGGUAGCGGCGGCAAUGAUGGCGAUGGUGGUACUACAUGUCCAGUAAAUCCUAAAGCAGACGUACAUAAUUGUCUGAUACAAGCACUCACGGAGUUUGGAUAUCUACUUCCCGCUAUUGGCAAAUACGUGUGUGCAUACAAUAAAUUUCAGGAGGAUAAAAACGCAAAGAAUUACAACGCUGGAGCACGUGAAUUCAUUGAUGUACUGAAGUGUACAGGCUGCCAGGCUGAUAAAUAUAUUGGUGGUCAUGCUUUGGAACAACUUUUGGUGUCAGUCGGAGGAACUGGAAGUGAAGCCCUUGAAGUUGGUAUAAAGAUUCUGCAUACUUUGGGAAUAGACGAACUAAAGGCAAAGCUUAUUUGCUUAUUGGCAGGGAAACUUUUACAAUCACCGUGCCUGAAGGCUGCCCUUGUGAAUAUUGCUCCGGACAUAUUAGCUAACCUGACAGAACUUUUAUUGUAAGUUAAAGAAGAGUGAUACAAAUGAUUCUGAUGCUGCUGUAGCUGCUGCUGCUGCUGGAGUACCAAAAUUAAUAGGGGCACUUGGAUGUGCCUUGGGUGAGGAGCUUGGACUGGAAAAUGAAGAACUGG